UACGUAGGGUGCGAGCGUUGUCCGGAAUUACUGGGCGUAAAGAGUUCGUAGGCGGUUUGUCGCGUCGUUCGUGAAAACUUGGGGCUUAACUCCAAGCGUGCGGGCGAUACGGGCAGACUUGAGUACUACAGGGGAGACUGGAAUUCCUGGUGUAGCGGUGAAAUGCGCAGAUAUCAGGAGGAACACCGGUGGCGAAGGCGGGUCUCUGGGUAGUAACUGACGCUGAGGAACGAAAGUGUGGGGAGCGAACAGG
rnacentral:rRNA from 1 species